AAUCAAGCCUGGGCAAUGGCGGGCGCCCCUCCCCCAGCCUGGCUGCCGCCUUGCAGUUUGAUCUCAGACUGCUGUGCUAGCAAUCAGGGAGACUCCGUGGGCGUAGGACCCUCCGAGCCAGGUGUUACCGUGAGAAAAUAUCUUGAACUUCUACUCUGUACUUCACCAUACAAGAAUUGAGCCUGGUGUUUUCUUUAAAUUAUUUUAUGAUUACUUAAAGCCAUUCUUUAUAAAUUUUGCACCUCUGCUGGUCAGGUGGCCUAACUUUGGAAGACUCAGACCUUCAUCUGUGACAGUUCUAUAGUCACAGUCGCUAUGCCUUCUCAGGUCCUGGCUGCUGUAUUAUUACAUUGAUUCUCAAAGUUGUACAAGAGAAUAUCAAAAGACACCAAAGUGGAUUAAGAUUAGUUACUGUUAAAAAUAUUCCUCCUGCUUUACGUUCU
rnacentral:lncRNA from 10 species